rnacentral:rRNA from 1 species
UACGGGGGGGGCAAGCGUUGUUCGGAAUUAUUGGGCGUAAAGGGCGCGUAGGCGGUCAGCACAAGUCAGUUGUGAAAUCUCCGGGCUUAACUCGGAAAGGUCAACUGAUACUGUGCGACUAGAGUGCGGAAGGGGCAACUGGAAUUCUCGGUGUAGCGGUGAAAUGCGUAGAUAUCGAGAGGAACACCUGCGGCGAAGGCGGGUUGCUGGGCCGACACUGACGCUGAUGCGCGAAAGCCAGGGGAGCGAACGGG